AAAUUAUGGUGAGGACACUUCCUUGGAUGUCCUCCAAAUUUUUUCCAUGCUUUAAAUAGGGAUUCUGACUUAUACUACUAAAAACUAAAAAUUUCUGUCAUAAGCUU